AGAGUUUGAUCCUGGCUCAGGAUGAACGCUAGCUGCAUGCCUAACACAUGCAAGUCGAGGGGCAGCAGGACGAUAGCUUGCUAUUGUUGCUGGCGACCGGCGCACGGGUGAGUAACGCGUAUCCAACCUGGCCCGUAGUAGGGAAUAGCCCGGCGAAAGUCGGAUUAAUGCCCUAUGUUUUCCUUUGAGGACAUCUGAUUUGGAAUAAAGGUUCACCGCUAUGGGAUGGGGAUGCGUCUGAUUAGCUUGUCGGCGGGGUAACGGCCCACCGAGGCAACGAUCAGUAGGGGUUCUGAGAGGAAGGUCCCCCACAUUGGUACUGAGACACGGACCAAACUCUUACGGGAGGCAGCAGUGAGGAAUAUUGGUCAAUGGGCGAGAGCCUGAACCAGCCAAGUAGCGUGCAGGAAGACUGCCCUAUGGGUUGUAAACUGCUUUUAUGCGGGAAUAAAGUGCACUACGUGUAGUGUUUUGUAUGUACCGCAUGAAUAAGGACCGGCUAAUUCCGUGCCAGCAGCCGCGGUAAUACGGAGGACGCGAGCGUUAUCCGGAUUCAUUGGGUUUAAAGGGUGCGCAGGCGGCCGUGCAAGUCAGCGGUGAAAGCCCGGGGCUCAACCCCGGAAGUGCCGUUGAUACUGCAUGGUUGGAAUGCGGUCGAGGCGGGCGGAACGUGGCGUGUAGCGGUGAAAUGCGUAGAUAUGCCACAGAACGCCGAUAGCGGAGGCAGCUCGCCAGGCCUGCAUUGACGCUCGGGCACGAAAGCGUGGGGAUCGAACAGGAUUAGAUACCCUGGUAGUCCACGCCGUAAACGAU
rnacentral:rRNA from 1 species